rnacentral:rRNA from 1 species
AACGAACGCUGGCGGCAUGCCUAACACAUGCAAGUCGAACGAGACCUUCGGGCCUAGUGGCGCACGGGUGCGUAACGCGUGGGAACCUGCCCUUAGGUUCGGAAUAACUCCCCGAAAGGGGUGCUAAUACCGGAUAAUGUCUUCGGACCAAAGAUUUAUCGCCUUUGGAUGGGCCCGCGUUGGAUUAGCUAGUUGGUAGGGUAAAAGCCUACCAAGGCGACGAUCCAUAGCUGGUCUGAGAGGAUGAUCAGCCACACUGGGACUGAGACACGGCCCAGACUCCUACGGGAGGCAGCAGUGGGGAAUAUUGGACAAUGGGCGAAAGCCUGAUCCAGCAAUGCCGCGUGAGUGAUGAAGGCCUUAGGGUUGUAAAGCUCUUUUACCCGGGAUGAUAAUGACAGUACCGGGAGAAUAAGCUCCGGCUAACUACGUG